rnacentral:lncRNA from 1 species
GUCCUGGACAAAGCUGCCAGUCAGAGCUGCUUGCUCAGUGUGGGGCAUCUGGUGUGACUGGUGGGACCCUGUGUUUCAAGGGUCACAGUGCUCCCUGGAACCCCAUACUUACUCUGAAGACAGCACCCCACCAUGUACCCCUUCCUUCUGCCAUGGCCACAUGAGCCUGCAAGAGCUGCCAGGCUGACAUGGGGCUUUCUGGCCACAGUGACUGAUCCAGGGAUGGGAAGAGAUGUAGCCUUGGCGUUGGAAGUUUUCAAGUCUUGGGUAUGUCUGCAUGCACAGUAUUGGCAGCGUGAAAAUGGACUUCAAAGGAGGAAUG